rnacentral:lncRNA from 1 species
CACACAGAGAAGGGACAGGGCAGGGGUGGGGUUGAAAUAGGGCAGAGCUGCUGCCUGAAUGGAGACUUGACAAAGAAGGAGUCAGGCAUCAGAACAGAAAAUGGUCCCAGCUACUCAGGUGGCAGGGGCAGGAGGAUCGCUUGAGCCUGGGUUGGGUGGAGGCUGCAGUGAAUCUUGAUAGAGCCACUGCACUCUAGCUUGGGCAACAGAGCAAGACCCUGUCUCAAAACACACACAUGUACACACACACAGAAAGUGCCGGGGGAAAUAAUAUGGUUGUGCUGUGUUUGUUCUGGUGGGUCUUACUGUGUUUCUAUGAGAAAGGCUGAUGAGCAAUUUUCAGAAUUUGAGGCAAAACUGGUUCUUCCUGUUUCAUCCUAUUUGUAUUUUUAUUAUCCCAAUUUUGCAGGUAAGGAGACCAAAGCAGAAAGAUCAGUAACCCUCCUGGAGUCUCACAAUUAAUAUGAAUCAGAGCAGGAUCUUCAACUCCUCAACUUGUGUUUUUAACUGGCACAUCUUCCUGCCUGGGUGCAGCAGCCAGAGACUCAAGCUGACUUCUUUCAACUUCCCCAGGGUACCUAGUGCACAAACCUGGCAUACAUCGCUCUCCUCCAAGACCCAGCCUGGGAGAGCCUACCUCUUGAGAGCUGUCUCAAGCUGAAGGUACCAACAUGAUGCCAUUGAACAUGGGACGUGAUGUGCAUAAUCAGCUCUUGGGAACCUUCAGGUGUGGGCUACAGCACCUCACUGGACCGCUGGGUUCCUAGUAGAGUGGAGGAAGUGUUCACUUAGCCACAACUUUGCUUCACCCUGGAGGCCAACUGAGGCAUGUUAGUAUACCCUCUCCCUGUAGUUCUGGAGUGAGGACAUUGGAAAGCUAAACAGUGGUGCUUGAUUCAAGGUGCUUGAUCUAAUUUCUGUGGCCUUUGUCUGAAGAGGGAGGAAUAAGAACGUGUCAACCUGGAAUUCCCAGACUGGCUGAUUGGGUCACAUUUGGAAAGCUGCUGUGUGCACAUCUGAUUAUCCUGCACCUAGGACUAUGAUUCAUUUCUUCUUUCUCAGAACGUGUAUCAGUUUGUUAUAUUGAUUAGCCUGAUUGUCUGAAUAGUGUCUUUCUGUGUCAAAUCUAUGAAAGUUUGAACCCUAUAUGCUUUUGCUGAAUACUGUAUUUCCAAUACCUAGUAAUUAUACCUAGACUGACACAUAGUGGGAAUUUUUUUCUUCAAGUUUAAGUGAAAAUUUAUUUAUUUUUUUAAAUCUCCAAAAGCUUCCCAUUGUUUAUUAUUAUUU